rnacentral:misc_RNA from 1 species
AAACUAUCAAGCCUGGCUUGGUCUUGGGCGCGGUCCUGGGACCCGCCCGCAACCCGUCGGCGGUGCCGGUUCGGCCCUGAGCGUAGCAGAAGAUACUCGCUCUGGGGCCGCGGCGGCGCCCGCCAGCAAGUUUUUACCUACG